UACAGAGGUCCCAAGCGUUGUUCGGAUUCACUGGGCGUAAAGGGUGCGUAGGUGGUGAGGUAAGUCGGAUGUGAAGUCUCCGAGCUCAACUCGGAAAUUGCAUUGGAAACUACCUUGCUUGAGGGUUGGAGGGGGGACUGGAAUGCUUGGUGUAGCAGUGAAAUGCGUAGAUAUCAAGCGGAACACCAGUGGCGAAGGCGAGUCCCUGGACAACACCUGACACUGAGGCACGAAAGCUAGGGGAGCAAACAGG
rnacentral:rRNA from 1 species